rnacentral:rRNA from 1 species
UAUUGGACAAUGGGCGAAAGCCUGAUCCAGCCAUGCCGCGUGAGUGAUGAAGGCCCUAGGGUUGUAAAGCUCUUUCGCCAGGGACGAUAAUGACGGUACCUGGAUAAGAAGCCCCGGCUAACAUCGUGCCAGCAGCCGCGGUAAUACGAAGGGGGCUAGCGUUGUUCGGAUUUACUGGGCGUAAAGCGCACGUAGGCGGAUCUUUAAGUCAGGGGUGAAAUCCCGAGGCUCAACCUCGGAACUGCCUUUGAUACUGGAGGUCUCGAGUCCGGGAGAGGUGAGUGGAACUGCGAGUGUAGAGGUGAAAUUCGUAGAUAUUCGCAAGAACACCAGUGGCGAAGGCGGCUCACUGGCCCGGUACUGACGCUGAGUCGAAA